rnacentral:lncRNA from 1 species
GUAAUCAUUUCUUUUAAUAUCCAUUAACUUUAGAUCAUCAUCAAAAAAAAUAAGUAGGCAAUUAUAAGUAUAUAGCAAGAAAAAUUCAUCAGCACCCAUCAGCUUUAACACAUCUUAUGGGAAUAAAAAAAAUAGAUCAUAGCAAAUCUAUGAAGCCAUUCCCUUCAAUAUUCAUCCAGUCUAGAUUAUCAUCAGAAAAAAUAAGGAGGCAACCAUGAGAAUAUAGCAAGCAAAAUCCAUUAGCACCCAUCAGCUUUAACACAUCA